UACGUAGGGGGCAAGCGUUGUUCGGAAUUACUGGGCGUAAAGCGCACGUAGGUGGCGACGUAAGUCGGGUGUGAAAGCCCCGGGCUCAACCUGGGAAUUGCAUUCGAGACUGUGUCGCUGGAGUACGGAAGAGGAAGGCGGAAUUCCCGGUGUAGCGGUGAAAUGCGUAGAUAUCGGGAGGAACAUCAGUGGCGAAGGCGGCCUUCUGGUCCAGUACUGACACUCAAGUGCGAAAGCGUGGGGAGCAAACAGG
rnacentral:rRNA from 1 species